rnacentral:rRNA from 1 species
UACGGAGGGUGCAACCGUUGCUCGGAAUCAUUGGGCGUAAAGCGCACGUAGGCGGUUCGUUAAGUUGGAUGUGAAAGCCCUCGGCUUAACCGAGGAAGUGCAUCCAAAACUGGCGAGCUUGAGUAUGGAAGAGGGUCUCGGAAUUCCCGGUGUAGAGGUGAAAUUCGUAGAGAUCGGGAGGAACACCAGUGGCGAAGGCGGAGACCUGGGCCAAUACUGACGCUGAGGUGCGAAAGCGUGGGGAGCAAACAGG